rnacentral:rRNA from 1 species
UACGUAGGUGGCGAGCGUUGUCCGGAUUUACUGGGCGUAAAGAGCGCGCAGGCGGUCGUUCAAGUCGCGUGUGAAAGCCCCCGGCUCAACUGGGGAGGGUCACGCGAUACUGAUCGACUCGAAGGCAGGAGAGGGAAGUGGAAUUCCCGGUGUAGUGGUGAAAUGCGUAGAUAUCGGAAGGAACAUCAGUGGCGAAAGUGACUUCCUGGACCAAUACUGACGCUCAUGUGCGAAAGCGUGGGGAGCAAACAGG